GUCUGCACUUUGAAAAGAACCGCGUGCAAUUCUGGCAGGAGCUAGGGGACCGACAUUUCAGGGCUUAGAAAGGCGACAAAAGCAAUGGAUUUAAUGACCGAAGAGACCAGACAUGGAUAUAAGACAAUAGCAGAAUUACUAGAGCAACUCACACAAGAAGCAAGCAAACUUGAAGAACAUCAGAAGAAGCUGACCGAGCACAAUCAAGCCCUCGGCGAUCUUAACAAGUCCUUUAAUGAGACCCAGUCAAGACUGAAGCGCCUAGCGAUGAUUAGGUGUGGCAGCCAUCUACUGAACCUUUAAAUGUCAUUGCUUACACAAAUAAAGCUCAUUUGCUUCCAUCUUC